rnacentral:rRNA from 1 species
AUUGAACGCUGGCGGCAGGCCUAACACAUGCAAGUCGAGCGGAUGAGGGAAGCUUGCUUCCCGAUUUAGCGGCGGACGGGUGAGUAAUGCCUAGGAAUCUGCCUAUUAGUGGGGGAUAACGUUCCGAAAGGAACGCUAAUACCGCAUACGUCCUACGGGAGAAAGUGGGGGAUCUUCGGACCUCACGCUAAUAGAUGAGCCUAGGUCGGAUUAGCUAGUUGGUGAGGUAACGGCUCACCAAGGCGACGAUCCGUAGCUGGUCUGAGAGGAUGAUCAGCCACACUGGAACUGAGACACGGUCCAGACUCCUACGGGAGGCAGCAGUGGGGAAUAUUGGACAAUGGGCGAAAGCCUGAUCCAGCCAUGCCGCGUGUGUGAAGAAGGUCUUCGGAUUGUAAAGCACUUUAAGUUGGGAGGAAGAGUUGUAAGCUAAUAUCUUGCAGCUUUGACGUUACCAACAGAAUAAGCACCGGCUAACUCUGUGCCAGCCGCCGCCGUAA